UACGUAGGGUGCGAGCGUUUGUCCGGAAUUACUGGGCGUAAAGCGCGUGUAGGCUGCUCUGCAAGUCGGAUGUGAAAGCCCUGGGCUCAACCUAGGAAGUGCAUUCGAAACUGCAGAGCUGGAGUCCUGGAGAGGAAGGCGGAAUUCUCGGUGUAGAGGUGAAAUUCGUAGAUAUCGAGAGGAACACCGGUGGCGAAGGCGGCCUUCUGGACAGUGACUGACGCUGAGACGCGAAAGCGUGGGGAGCAAACAGG
rnacentral:rRNA from 1 species